rnacentral:rRNA from 1 species
GACGAACGCUGGCGGAAUGCUUUACACAUGCAAGUCGAGCGGCAGCGCGGGGGCAACCCUGGCGGCGAGCGGCGAACGGGUGAGUAAUACAUCGGAACGUGUCCUUAAGUGGGGGAUAGCUCGGCGAAAGCCGGAUUAAUACCGCAUAAGCUCUGAGGAGGAAAGCGGGGGAUUCGCAAGGACCUCGCGCUGUUGGAGCGGCCGAUGUCGGAUUAGCUAGUUGGUGGGGUAAAGGCCCACCAAGGCGACGAUCCGUAGCUGGUCUGAGAGGAUGAUCAGCCACACUGGAACUGAGACACGGUCCAGACUCCUACGGGAGGCAGCAGUGGGGAAUUUUGGACAAUGGGGGCAACCCUGAUCCAGCCAUUCCGCGUGAGUGAAGAAGGCCUUGG